AUGGAAGGAAAGGUAGCUAGGGACUUUCUUGCUUGUAAGGAUAGAGAUGAUGUUAAGAAAUUACUAUGCAAGUUGAAAGAAAAAUCCUUGAAUGCUAGAAUGAAAUAUGAUCCUAAGUUUUCUACUUCACCUAUCUUUAUUACUGAUAAAGAUUAUGAAUUCUCCGCCAAUCUAGAGUUAAUUACUUUGGUUGAAUCCGAUCCUUUCCAUGGCUAUGAAACUGAAACUGUUGUGGGACAUCUUACUAAAUUAAAUGAUAUAUCCACCCUAUUUGUUCAUGUGGAAAAAAUCCGCUAUAACUAUAUCCUUGUCACGCCCAAUAUGCGACCCGAUCCUAAAGGAACUCGAAGGUCCCACUAA
rnacentral:rRNA from 1 species